UCCUGGCUCAGGAUGAACGCUGGCGGCGUGCUUAACACAUGCAAGUCGAACGGGCUCAUAUUGAAACCUAGUGAUUUAUGAGUUAGUGGCGGACGGGUGAGUAACGCGUGGAAAACCUGCCGUAUACUGGGGGAUAACACUUAGAAAUAGGUGCUAAUACCGCAUAAGCGCACAGCUUCGCAUGAAGUGGUGUGAAAAACUCCGGUGGUAUACGAUGGUUCCGCGUCUGAUUAGCUUGUUGGUGGGGUAAUGGCUCACCAAGGCGACGAUCAGUAGCCGGCCUGAGAGGGUGAACGGCCACAUUGGGACUGAGACACGGCCCAAACUCCUACGGGAGGCAGCAGUGGGGAAUAUUGCACAAUGGGGGAAACCCUGAUGCAGCGACGCCGCGUGAGUGAAGAAGUAUUUCGGUAUGUAAAGCUCUAUCAGCAGGGAAGAAAAUGACGGUACCUGAUUAAGAAGCCCCGGCUAACUACGUGCCAGCAGCCGCGGUAAUACGUAGGGGGCAAGC
rnacentral:rRNA from 1 species